rnacentral:rRNA from 1 species
GUGGUAAUGCCGGAUGCUCCAGUUGAUCGCAUGGUCUUCUGGGAAAGCCUUUGCGGCAUGGGAUGGGGUCGCGUCCUAUCAGCUUGAUGGCGGGGUAACGGCCCACCAUGGCUUCGACGGGUAGCCGGCCUGAGAGGGCGACCGGCCACAUUGGGACUGAGAUACGGCCCAGACUCCUACGGGAGGCAGCAGUGGGGAAUAUUGCACAAUGGGCGCAAGCCUGAUGCAGCGACGCCGCGUGAGGGAUGGAGGCCUUCGGGUUGUAAACCUCUUUUGUUAGGGAGCAAGGCAUUUUGUGUUGAGUGUACCUUUCGAAUAAGCACCGGCUAACUACGUGCCAGCAGCCGCGGUAAUACGUAGGGUGCAAGCGUUAUCCGGAAUUAUUGGGCGUAAAGGGCUCGUAGGCGGUUCGUCGCGUCCGGUGUGAAAGUCCAUCGCUUAACGGUGGAUCCGCGCCGGGUACGGGCGGGCUUGAGUGCGGUAGGGGAGACUGGAAUUCCCGGUGUAACGGUGGAAUGUGUAGAUAUCGGAAAAAAAACA